AUUGAACGCUGGCGGUAUGCCUUACACAUGCAAGUCGAACGGUAGAGGGGCAACCCUUGAGAGUGGCGAACGGGUGAGUAAUACAUCGGAACGUGCCCAGUCGUGGGGGAUAACGUAGCGAAAGCUACGCUGAUACCGCAUACGACCCGAGGGUGAAAGCGGGGGACUCGCAAGGGCCUCGCGCGAUUGGAGCGGCCGAUGGCAGAUUGGGUAGUUGGUGGGGUAAAGGCCCACCAAGCCUGCGAUCUGUAGCUGGUCUGAGAGGACGACCAGCCACACUGGGACUGAGACACGGCCCAGACUCCUACGGGAGGCAGCAGUGGGGAAUUUUGGACAAUGGGCGAAAGCCUGAUCCAGCCAUACCGCGUGCGGGAAGAAGGCCUUCGGGUUGUAAACCGCUUUUGUCAGGGAAGAAAUCUUCUGGGUUAAUACCUCGGGAGGAUGACGGUACCUGAAGAAUAAGCACCGGCUAACUACGUGCCAGCCGCCGCUGUAACAC
rnacentral:rRNA from 1 species